rnacentral:lncRNA from 1 species
GCUACUUCGGGUUGGUGGCGGAAAUGCCGUUAUAUAUGACGGCGGCGUUGAAGAGCGGCGGGAAAGAGGUCGGUAAGUGGAGAUAGUGACGGUGGGCUCGAUCGGAGGCGCGUUGGGGGCGGCGCUACUGAGUUUGCUGACGAUAGCGAUGUUUGUGAAUGCGAAGAAGAAGAUCAAGAAGGAGGAGAUGGAUAAGUUGGAGAGAAGGGCUUAUGAAGAGGAGGCUUUGCGAGUUUCCAUGGUUGGCCAUGUCAGGGGUAAUUCUGGUA